rnacentral:misc_RNA from 1 species
CCGAGUAAGGGUGCUCUUUACCAAAAGACGCCCGACCUCCCAACCCUUUGUCUACCUUACCAAAUGUUGCUUCGGCAGGCCCGCCGACCCCCAGGGAGACCUGGGGCGAGGCCGCCGGGGGCUCCGCGCCCCGGGCCCGUUGCCUGUCGACGGCCCCUCUCAAACUCGUGUUUAAACGUGUCGUCUGAGUUAUAAACAAAAAUUAAAACCA